CUUGUACUAAUGAUGACUUGUCUGAAAACUCCUGCUUAAGGAAGCUGGACAAUGUCUGACAGCUCACAAG
rfam:Poecilia formosa, whole genome shotgun sequence.